rnacentral:rRNA from 1 species
AUUGAACGCUGGCGGCAUGCCUUACACAUGCAAGUCGAACGGUAACGGGCCUUCGGGUGCCGACGAGUGGCGAACGGGUGAGUAAUACAUCGGAACGUGCCCGAUCGUGGGGGAUAACGAGGCGAAAGCUUUGCUAAUACCGCAUACGAUCUACGGAUGAAAGCAGGGGACCGCAAGGCCUUGCGCGGACGGAGCGGCCGAUGGCAGAUUAGGUAGUUGGUGGGAUAAAAGCUUACCAAGCCGACGAUCUGUAGCUGGUCUGAGAGGAUGAUCAGCCACACUUGGACUGAGACACGGCCCAGACUCCUACGGGAGGCAGCAGUGGGGAAUUUUGGACAAUGGGCGCAAGCCUGAUCCAGCCAUGCCGCGUGCAGGAUGAAGGCCUUCGGGUUGUAAACUGCUUUUGUACGGAACGAAAAGCCUUCUUUUAAUACAGGAGGGUCAUGACGGUACCGUAAGAAUAAGCACCGGCUAACUACGUG